rnacentral:rRNA from 1 species
AUCUUCGUCCAUGCCACCCUGAACACGCCCGAUCCCAUCUGAACUUAGAAACUAAGCAAGGUCAGGCCUGGUUAGUACUUGGAUGGGAGACCACCUAGGAAGACCAGGUGCUGUAGGUA